CAAAGUAUUUCAAAGGGGACUCAGUUCCACUCACUUAGUCUGCAUCCAGCUCUCUCUCUUUCAAUUUGUUUCAUGCACCUGAUCUCCCUAAAUCUCAGUCUGUUAUCAUCGCCCAAGCACACUUUUCUUUAACAUAACCCUCUUACAGUUGAAGUAACUGUUCCUCACUGUGACAUCUAAACGUGGGCUCACCAGCACAGAGGACAUCUUGUGUCACCGUAUUACACUUCUUGAGACAGCAUUAUCAGUUCUUUUAUGGCUAGCAUGCAUAUAUCUUGGUUUAUGACACUUCAAUUUGCCUUUAGUGCUACAGGGAUGGCAUUUCUGAUUUUGGAUUAAACUCGUAAGGGCUUUAAAAGAAACAAAAAAAGGGCUGCUACCUACAACAAGCUAAAUAAAUACACAGAGUAGGAAAGUGCCCCCAAAGGACCACUACCCAACUCUUCUAGCUGCAGUGUAGCGUUUACAUGGCAGCAAACUCCCUUUGCCUUAGUAAAGAUGCUUUGCUGCAUUAUGGCCUUACAAUGGGCAUAACAGCAUAGACACAACAUACUGUUUGACUGAGGUUAGGCCAAGGUGGCAUUUCAUUGGAUGGUAUUGGUUUUGGUUUUGUAUGAUUUAUGUACUGAAACUGAGUUUUUAAAAGCCUUACUUUUUUAAAAUAGAAAUAAAACUUUGUGGAUUUAUGAAUGUGUGUGCGUGUGUAUGUAUGUACAGACACACAUACACACAAAGGUAAAUAUCUGAAAUCUAGUAUGUGUCUCGUGAUCAGGGACAUCCUCUUGACUGUGUUACUUUUCAUAAAACGAGAAGCUCAGCUGGAUCACCAGUUGUCCACAUAAGCUGAAAAGUCACUGCUUGCCUCUGCUAGGUAUUCCCAGGCUCCUGCUGGGUUUGUUCAAUACUACACAGGUCACUUGGAUCAGCUCUCACAGCAUAUUCCUGCCAGGUGGAUUCAAGAAUCUGUUGCUGAUGUUCUCUGUACUUUUAUUUGUUAAGUACGAAAGUCAGAUCAGCAGGGAGAUAGGCAAUGACUUGUUUAUAACACAGAUCGAGCAAUCUGGACUUGGAUAUUUCAUGACAGCAGCAAUAAAUGUUAAGAGUUUCCCUUUUUUAAAAAACAAACAAACAGUAUUUCAGAUGCAACAUUUUUAGAGGAUUUUAUUCAAUGAAUUAGCACUGGUGAACCUGAUUCCUUUGUAUCUAUUGCCAUCACCCUUUGGGAAAGGGUUUCAUGAAAUCUUAAGAUCACACAAUGAAGAUUGAACAAAGGCAGAAAGGACAUAUUUCUGGUUUUGAUUGUAAUUUUUCACAAGGUAGCCUAGCCUCUUGGCCAAUAACAUUGUGUUUCAAGUGCAUUUUUAGAUAGUUCUUACGGAACAGGACAAGAUGAAUUUUUUAGGGUUGUAGCAGUGUUUUCCAGCAUUUGUUUUUAAUGUUUAAGAAUCAAAAGAUGAUGAUGGCCAAAAAGCCUUUUGAAAACCAUGAACUCUGAUAGUGCGUGUGUGAACGUGUGUCUUUCUUUCUGUCCAUGGUAAUUGCACAGAUGCAAACAUAUUGACAUGUAUACGAAGUCAGCUCUGUAGUUGGUGUUACGUUUGUUCAAAAUCUAUUACUGAAGACUGUUCCUUGACCUGAAAAUUAAGAAAGACUGCUGAUUUGUACUCUCUCAAAUGACUUUAUUGCACUAUAGAGCAGCUCAGUCUCAGGAAUUUACUUGUUACUUUGACUAUGUAAAUAAAGCUUUCUGAUUCUGUA